CAAGAAAUAAGAAGAUUGUUAGUGUUAUUAGUGUUCUUGUUUUGCUAAAUUUUGUAUAUUGUUAUCAAGAAAUGAGAAGAUUGAUAGUUUUAUUAGUGUUCUUGUUUUGCUAAAUUUUGUAUAUUGUUAUCAAGAAAUGAGAAGGUUGAUAAUGUUAUUAGUGUUCUUGUUUUGCUAAUUUUUGUAUAUUGUCAUCAAGAAAUGAGAAGAUUGAUAGUGUUAUUAGUGUUCUUGUUAUCAAGAAACAUUUGACGCUGACCCUUUACCAAAAUCUCCCAAAAAUGAAAGGCAUUGCCAUGGGGAAUUCUCCAUGGCUUCUGUUAGUCAAAUAAGGAUAUGGAAGAUAACAACUAGGUCGAUGUAAGCCAUGACGCACUGUUCGUUGGAAUUUAUGAUGGCUUCAAAGGCCACACCGCUGCUUCCUAAAUCCGUACGCACAUCUUUAGGACUCUAUUACGUGAGUUAUUUUUUUGCUUCUUUUUUCUUAGCAUACUUACCUGUAUAUUCUUAUCAAGAAAUGAGAAGAUUGAUAGUGUUGUUAGAGUUCUUGUUUUGCUAAGUUUUGUAUAUUGUUAUAAAGAAAUGAGAAGAUUGAUAGUGUUAUUAGUGUUCUUGUUUUGCUAAAUUUUGUAUAUUGUUAUCAAGAAAUGAGAAGAUCGAUAGUGAUAUUAGUGUUCUUGUUUUGCUAAAUUUUGUAUAUUGCUAUAAAAAAUUUGAAGAUCGAUAGUGUUAUUAGUGUUCUUGUUUUGCUAAAUUUUGUAUAUUGUUAUCAAGAAAUGAAAAGAUUGA
rnacentral:lncRNA from 1 species